rnacentral:rRNA from 1 species
AGUGAACGCUGGCGGCGUGCCUAAUACAUGCAAGUCGAACGGACGAGUAAGAGCUUGCUCUUAUGAGUUAGUGGCGCACGGGUGAGUAAUGUAUAGCUAAUCUGCCCUACACUAGAGGACAACAGUUGGAAACGACUGCUAAUACUCUAUACUCCUCUCUAGCAUAAGUUAGAUAGGGAAAGUUUUUCGGUGUAGGAUGAGGCUAUAUUGUAUCAGCUAGUUGGUGAGGUAAUGGCUCACCAAGGCUAUGACGCAUAACUGGUCUGAGAGGAUGAUCAGUCACACUGGAACUGAGACACGGUCCAGACUCCUACGGGAGGCAGCAGUAGGGAAUAUUGCUCAAUGGGGGAAACCCUGAAGCAGCAACGCCGCGUGGAGGAUGACACUUUUCGGAGCGUAAACUCCUUUUGUUAUGGAAGAACAAUGACGGGACCUAUCGAAUAAUCACCGGCUAACUCCGUGCCAGCACCCGCGGUAAUACGGAGGGUGCAAUCGUUACUCGGAAUCACUGGGGCGUAAACGACACCAUGCGUAUCUUUCUCUUUUUUUGUUAAUCCCAU